rnacentral:lncRNA from 1 species
AUAGCCUUGAUGAAAAAAAAGGAAUUGUUAAUAAUUGACCCCUUGUGUGAUGAGAUCAGAUAUGAAAGAACAUGCCUGAGGAAUUGGAGGUGAUUUAUUAGAUACUUACUUUCACAGAGGACACUAACUGUUCCAUUGACAUUUUUUUAAAGGGAAUGUUACAAUAAUUGGAAUAAUGUCUUCUUAUUAGCUACAAAUGAACAUUGAAACAGCAUGUACUUGUACUGAAUGUGCUUAAUAAUGGACUUUGAGAGAACUUGUGUGAUGUGACUCUGGGCACCGACUUCACAGAAUGUGGACACACACGAAACAGUAGCAUGUUGCGUGAUUGAGAAUGUGUUAUUAUCAACAUGGGGCACAGCAACUCAGGUGACACACUGUGUAAGUGUGAGACAAUAAUAUGAAAACAAGUGUGUCUAUAUGUGAGCAAUAAGUCUUUUCAAUGACUAAGUAAAAAGCGAGAGAAUGGAUUUUUAUCUAUGUCCAGAAACCAGAGUGGGAAAUAACGGAAAGCAAAGCUCAUUUAUACAGUCUGCUAAUGUACUCUCUAACAAUUUCAGAAACUUCAUCAAACAAUUAACUAGUAAAUCCUCAUCUGAUUGGAACAGUAAAAUUGUGGAGCAUCCCAGACAAAGUGAUGGUCACAACUGUGGACCACUCAUCUUAAAGUUUGCAGAAACAUAUUUGCAGCACAAAGACAUCUGUACGGUGGAAACAACACAGAAGGCUAAUACUGCGUUUAGAAGACAUAUAGCAAUUCUUCUAAUGAAGGAGUCAGAAAGCGUGGAGGACUACUGCAUAUACUGCAACCUUAUCGACUGUGAAAAAGAAAGUGAGGAUUGCACGAUGCAAAGGUCCAGUGUGAUUCUUGCAAGAGGUGGGCACAUAUACCAUGCAUUACAAAAGGAAACAAUCAAGAAAACCUGACAUAUGAGAAGAAAGAGUACAACUUCAAGACAUGUGCAUAGUUCACUUCAUUAACAAAAAGAAAAAAGGCAAUAAAGAAAACCCAUUGCUUAACUGCCUCUUGUUCAAAACAUAAUGCAACCCAAAGAAAUAUAUUUCUAUGUAUACAUCAG